GGCCUACCAUGGUGGUAACGGGUAACGGGGUGUUAGGGCACGACACCGGAGAGGGAGCCUGAGAAACGGCUACCACAUCCAAGGAUGGCAGCAGGCGCGCAAAUUACCCAAUCCCGACACGGGGAGGUAGUGACAAUAAAUAACAAUACGGGGUUCUUUUGGAUCUCGUAAUUGGAAUGAGUACAAUUUAAAUCUCUUAACGAGGAACAAUUGGAGGGCAAGUCUGGUGCCAGCAGCCGCGGUAAUUCCAGCUCCAAUAGCGUAUAUUAAAGUUGUUGCAGUUAAAAAGCUCGUAGUUGAAUUUCGGGGUUAGUAGGUUGGUCAUGCCUCUGGUAUGUACUGGUCUCACUGAUUCCUCCUUCCUGAUGAACCGUAAUGCCAUUAAUUUGGUGUUGCGGGGAAUUUGGACUGUUACUUUGAAAAAAUUAGAGUGUUUAAAGCAAGCUAACGCUUGAAUACAUUAGCAUGGAAUAAUGAAAUAGGACGUUCGAUCCUAUUUUGUUGGUUUCUAGGAUUGACGUAAUGAUUAAUAGGGAUAGUUGGGGGCAUUAGUAUUCAAUUGUCAGAGGUGAAAUUCUUGGAUUUAUUGAAGACUAACUACUGCGAAAGCAUUUGCCAAGGAUGUUUUCAUUAAUCAAGAACGAAAGUUAGGGGAUCGAAGACGAUCAGAUACCGUCGUAGUCUUAACCAUAAACUAUGCCGACUAGGGAUCGGAUGAUGUUAAUUUUUUAAUGACUCAUUCGGCGCCUUACG
rnacentral:rRNA from 1 species